rnacentral:rRNA from 1 species
GUUCGAUUCACAUCAGAUGAACGCUGGCGGAUGCUUUACACAUGCAAGUCGAACGGCAACCACGACUUCGGUCUGGUGGCGAGUGGCGAACGGGUGAGUAAUGUCAGGCAGGACAUUGCUAGUAGCGGGGGAUAACUACGCGAAAGCGUUAGCUAAUACCACCUGCGCCCUUCGAGAAAGCGAAGGCCCUUCAGACCUCACACUAUUAGAGCAGCCGAUAUCGGAUUAGCUAGUUGGUCGGGGUAACGGCUCGCAAAGGCGACAGAUCGCUAGCUGGUUUGAGAGGACGACCAGCCACACUGGGACUGAGACACGGCCCAGACUCUACGGAGGAGCAGCAGUGAAAUUUUUGGACAAUGGAAACCUGAUCCCAGCUAUCCCCGCGUGUGCGAUGAAGGCCUUCGGGUUGUAAGCUUGCACGGCAGGGAAAGAAACGGCACGGGGAUAAUACCCGUGCAGCAGCCAGUACCUGCAGAAUAAGCACCGGCUAACUACGUACAACAGCAGCCGCGGUAAUACGUAGAGGUGGCAUUAAUCGGAAUUACUGGGCGUAAAGCGUGCAGGCGGUUCGGAAAAGAAGGUGUGAAAUCCCACAGGAAACAGCUGGAACUGCGGCACCGCUACAGAGCUGAAAUUAAUAAGCUAAGGAGAGUGGAAUUCCGCGUGUAGCGUGAAAUGCGUAGAUAUGCGGAGGAACACCGAUGGCGAAGGCAGCCUCCUGGAAUGCUGCCGGCAACAAGCUGCACAGCAGCAUGAGGAGCAGAGCAGGAUUAGAUACACCUGGUAGUCCACCUUUAAACAGUAUCAACUAGCUGUUGGGGCCUUCCCGGGCCUUGGUAGCGCAGCUAACGCGUGAAGUUGGCUCCGCCUGGGGAAGUACGGUCGCAAGAUUAAAACUCAAAGGAGUCGAAGCGGGGACCCGCAAGCGGUGGAUGAUAUAUGAUUAAUUCAGUGCAACGAAAAACGCACCUACGCCAGCAUGUCUAGGUCGAAGAGAUUUGGGAGUGCUCCUCAAGAGAACAACCGGAGCUGAGUGCUGCAUGGCUGUCGUCGGCUCGUGUCGUGAGAUGUUGGGGGUUAAGUCCCGCAACGAGCAGCCCUUGUCAUUAGUUGCUUUAAAGGGCCGCUCUAAUGAGACUGCCGGUGACAAGCCAGGAGAGGUGAGGAUGACGUCAAGUCCUCAUGGCCCUUAUGGUGGGCUUGCACGUCAUACAAUGGUCGGGACGGGGUCGCCAACCCGCGAGGAAGGCCAAUCGGGGAAACCGAUCGUAGUCCGGAUCGCGAUCUGCAACUCGACUGCGUGAAGUCGGAAUCGCUAGUAAUCGCGAGAUCAGCAUGUCGCGGUGAAUACGUUCCCGGGUCUUGUACACCGCCCGUCACACCAUGGGAGUGGGUUUACCAGAAGUAGUUAGCCUAACCGUAAGGAAGGCGAUUACCACAGUAGGAUUGUGACUGGGGUGAAGUCGUAACAGAAUAA